rnacentral:lncRNA from 1 species
AGCUGAUUGCUGUGUUUGACGAACAAGAACCACUCCACAAGAUUGAGAGCCCCAGUGGAAACCCUGCAGGCCGGCAGAGCCCAGAUGCUUUUGAGACAGAAGUGGCUGCCCAGCUCGCUGCGUUUAAACCAGUUGGUGGGGAAAUUGAAGUAACCCCUUCUGCUCUGAAAUUAGGGCAGGGUGCGGUCAUGUGGUUUGUGCCUGCAAGGAAGGAGGGAUGUGCUUGGCAACAGAUGCAGUGCUCCUGGCUCUUCUGAGAUGUGACCUGGUUAUUCUGUCCUGCCUACCCCGAGACACUGUUUAGAUGAAGAGUGGCAGGGAGUAGUCAGAGGAGGAAUAAAUAGCAUGUGUGUUCCAGCGGUCUAUCAUUGCAGGGUGCCAGGACCCAGCCCUUCCUCCCUGACAGCUCUCAGAGGCUGCCAUUGGAACUACUUCUCCUGCUCAUGAGUCUCAUUUGCCCAAGGUGGCAUAGCAGAAGCAAGGCUGAUUCUCCCUGCUUUUCUCACCCUGGAGAUCCAUUCAAGAAGAUGAGGAAUUGAACCAUUAGAACUUCACAUGCUUACCUUACUUAGGGCACCAAUUAACAAAUACUAGGAAUCAAGAUAUUCUUACAGUUAGGUCUUGUUAAUCACCAAAAAUGUAUAUUUUAAUGAUAUUGGAAUAAAAACACACUCAACAUUCAGUAUAAUUUUUAUAUCUCUUUCCAACACAAGAUUAGUAUCAAUGAAAUGUUGUUAGAAAUUGACAGUCUUCCCCCGAUACAUGCAGACAGAGGUUAGCCCCACCUUUUUUUUCCUUUAUCUUUUGCAGAAGUUUCUAUUUCAAGCGCUCUUCAGGAUCUGUCCACUUCUUUUCUGCCCACUUUUAUUAGUAGCUUCUCUUCCACAGUCACCUUAACUUGCAGCUACCACAAGAUAAUUGCCAUUCCCUAAAUUUGCUACUUUCUUUCAAAUCUCUGUUGUUGUUGUUUAGGUACCAUUCCCUGCACCUGACUCUCCUUUUUGCCUCUUUUUCUGUUUGGUGAAAUUGUGUGGAUCUUUUAAGUCCAAGCUCAAAUAUGACCUUGUUUUUGAAGCCUUGCCCAAAUCUUCAAGACCGUACAGUAAGUGUACCAUAAACAUACUUCUUAAUUCUUCAACAACAAAAGGAUAUGAAGAUGAAGGCAUUUUCUAUGGACUAAAUGGGGUUCAUCCAUUUGCAUCCUAUAAGCUAAUAGUGUAUAUGCUUUUAAUUUGUAAAAAUGAGCUUUAAAUCAAGUGGGCAACCACAUAAUUGCAACUUCAUUCAUCUAGAUUAUCUCCUACCAUUUAUUUUGUAAUAGAUUUUCUAAAGUAAUGCAAAAUGACUAAGUCCUGACUCAGGCCUAACUAGCAAAUCAUUGUAACACUUCAAGAUUUUGUUUUUGAAGUUGGCUAGUGCACUUUACUGCGUAGACUAGAGAUCGCUAAUAUAAGAGUCUAUUUUUAAAAAAAGAGAUACAGUGGAACAAACACCGGGUAGAAUAGCAAAGAAUCAUAUUCACAGAGUUCAUCUAGACUUUAAAAAUCACCUAGUUCAGAAUUUUCCAGGUCGUCUUGAUGGAACCCAAUGGUACUUCUUAACAUGUUUCACAAUUUCAAGAAAUAUUUGAGUCUAGUUAAUUAAUAACAUUUAUUGAGCACUUAAGUUCUAGAUGCUAUUGUAACUCAUUCAUAUUCACUCUUUAUGUGCCCAGCAUUGGUUAUGCCAGAAGGGAAGAGAGGGAUGCAGAAGAGUAUUGAGUAGGCUCUAAAGAAUCCUAAUACCAUUUAGAAAUCCUACAGCAAAGAAACCUACCUUCACUGGGAAGAAUCCUCGACACCUCUUAGAACAACUUUUGUGAAAUGCUGGUCUGUUAGUAGACAGUUCUAUAGUAUUUCAUAUUAGCAAUUUCCUAGACAAUUAACAUUAUUUUACAAAUGACCAAAGGAAAGCUUAAGGGAGACUUAGUAUGUGCUGUCAUGUCAAAUACCUAGUUGGUUAAAGGAGUAGAAUUUGAACAUGCAUCUCCUGACUUUCAGCUACAUGACAUUUUUUUUUAAUUAAUUGUAGGUUUCAAUUAUCUCUAUCUUUUAAUACUCUAUGGGAUAAAAUAUCAACUUUUUUCCUUUUGGUACUGAAAGAGUGUCAGUUGAUAAAUAGACACCAUGAAUAGUUGUAAAUGAAAAGCUACUAAGUGAAGAAAGACCAGAAAAGUAAGAUGGGGACAUUUAUUUUAACUCUGUAAGUGUUAGAAAUGAAUAUGUUCCUGUUUCUUCCUCCCCUGUGUGGGUGCCCACAUGUGCUUGCAUGGAUGUAUCUAUGUUUGGGGGAAAAUGGCACCAAAACAAAUAUGCUAGUAUUUGGGAUACCUGGGUAAUUUUUUUCUAUAUUGUAGAUACUGUUGUACUUUUUGACAUUUCAACUAUCUGCGUGUAGGACCUUCUGUAAAUAAAACAAAAUAGUGAGGAUGCUUACUUUGAAGUUUGGAAUAAUAAGAGUCCUUCAGCCUUCCCCCAACUAAUCCUUAAUGCUGCCUUUCUGAACAGAGGCACCUGACCCCCUGCUUCUCCCCAAAAGCCCUCAUAAGGCCUCCAUCCAAGGUUGGCCCAACCCUUUUCCCUUGAGAAACACUAAUGUGGAGCUGGUCUCAGGCUCUGCAGUAUUUGAUCUAGCCAUUUCCAGACAAGUCAUUUAGUCAGUAUCUCUCACAUUUUUUCCCAAACAAAAACUAAAUCAGAAAACAUGAGGCAUUCAUAAAAGUGACUAUUCUGAAUUGAGAUGGGUCACUUCUCCUUGUGUACACACUUGCAUAUCCCCCUCAGCCACAAUUUUCUCAUCUCUAAAAUGGGCCUUUCUUGCUCUAAUGGGGUCUGAUUUUCCCUGGAGAAUGUCGUUCAUCCCAAGCUGAAUUUGAAUAUGGUUUCACAUCCCUGUCAAUUUCCAUCCCAGAGCCCAAAUUAAUGAGUAGUUUUAUUUUGGAACUUUUGGUAAUUUUUCUCCAUAUUCUUGACUGAAAUUUGCUAUUUUGGCUUAAGCUUCCAUGAGAAAAGAUCUCAAGUUACAGUUAUUUUAGCAAUGCAAUUUAAACAGUGUAUCAGGAUAAAAGGUAUUUUAAAUUUCAUUGUUGCCACUCUUGUGAUCUGUAUUACCCAGAUAUAAAGCACUUUGAUUAAAGUUUGAAGUUGAAAUGGUAUUGAAUUUAUUCUCCUCUUGUUGUCAAACUUUGAAGAUGAGAUACUUGCUAUUUGAAAGUGAUUCCUGUUUUUGAGACUUGAAAGCCAAAAGGUGCCUCAGAUGCUUUAUUGUUUCCAUGUGUGUUUGUGUUUCUUCAAAACUGAAAUGAAAAUUAUGAUUGUAUGUCUGUUGUAAUAGAAUUAUUUUCAAAA